rnacentral:rRNA from 1 species
UGGUUACUCAAGAAAAGAAUUUUAGUUCUUUCUUAAGGAACUAUAUCUCGCAAUAUUUAAGCAUUCCAAAGUCCUUAAGACUUAUUCAAUAAGGGUACAGCCUUAUUGAAAAAGGACACAACCUAAAACUCAGGUUAACGAAUUUUCUAAAAAACAGAAGUUAGUUGGCUUAAGAGCAGCCACCUUUUAAAUAGCGUCAAAGCUUACUUUCCUUACCUAUUUCCUCAAUUCCUAAAACUUUUCAGAACCCGAUUUUUCUAUUGAGUCGUUCUAUAAUCUUAUAGAAGUGUUUAUGUUAGAACUAGUAACACAGAAUAAUUUCUUUAUAUGUACGUGUAAAUCAGAUCGAAUAAAUCACUGAUAAUUAUCAGUUAUGAACAUAAUGUAGCAACUUCACUAGAAAACCCUACCACAUACUCUACUGUUAAUCUAACACAAGAACAUUAGAAAAAGAUUUAAAGACAAAGAAGGAACUCGGCAAAUAUGAAUUCCGCCUGUUUACCAAAAACAUCGCCUUUUGAACUCUAUAAAAGGUAUUGCCUGCCCAGUGACUAUAUGUUUAACGGCCGUGGUAUUUUGACCACGCAAAGGUAGCGUAAUCACUUGUUUUUUAAAUAAAGACUAGUAUGAAUGGCUUCACGAGAAUUCAACUGUCUCCUUUGUCUAAUCAGUGAAACUGAUCCCCUCGUGCAGAAACGAGGAUAGUAUCAUAAGACGAGAAGACCCUAUGGAGCUUUAAACCCAUAUCAACAAGUUCACUCCUUAAAAAAUAAUACUAAUUUAACUUGCUCGAUUAAAGUUUUAGGUUGGGGCGACCAUGGAGAAAAAAUAAUCCUCCACGAUGAUUUUAACUAAGAGCUACAGCUCUAAGUAUUAAGACACUUAACUCAUAUUGACCCAUUUUUUGAUCAACGAACUAAGUUACCCUAGGGAUAACAGCGCAAUCCAUUUUAAGAGUCCCUAUCGACAAAUGGGUUUACGACCUCGAUGUUGGAUCAGGGCACCCAAGUGGUGCAACCGCUACUAAAGGUUCGUUUGUUCAACGAUUAAAGCCCU